GACGAACGCUGGCGGCGUGCUUAACACAUGCAAGUCGAACGGAAAGGCCCUGCUUUUGUGGGGUGCUCGAGUGGCGAACGGGUGAGUAACACGUGAGUAACCUGCCCUUGACUUUGGGAUAACUUCAGGAAACUGGGGCUAAUACCGGAUAGGAGCUCCUGCUGCAUGGUGGGGGUUGGAAAGUUUCGGCGGUUGGGGAUGGACUCGCGGCUUAUCAGCUUGUUGGUGGGGUAGUGGCUUACCAAGGCUUUGACGGGUGGCCGGCCUGAGAGGGUGACCGGCCACAUUGGGACUGAGAUACGGCCCAGACUCCUACGGGAGGCAGCAGUGGGGAAUAUUGCACAAUGGGCGGAAGCCUGAUGCAGCAACGCCGCGUGCGGGAUGACGGCCUUCGGGUUGUAAACCGCUUUCGCCUGUGACGAAGCGUGAGUGACGGUAAUGGGUAAAGAAGCAUCGGCUAACUACGUG
rnacentral:rRNA from 1 species